UACGGGGGGGGCAAGCGUUGUUCGGAAUCACUGGGCGUAAAGCGCACGUAGGCGGAUUUGUAAGUCAGGGGUGAAAUCCCGGGGCUCAACCUCGGAACUGCCUUUGAUACUGCGAAUCUUGAGUCCGAUAGAGGUGGGUGGAAUUCCUAGUGUAGAGGUGAAAUUCGUAGAUAUUCGGAAGAACACCAGUGGCGAAGGCGGCUCACUGGUCCGGUACUGACGCUGAGGUGCGAAAGCGUGGGGAGCAAACAGG
rnacentral:rRNA from 1 species